AUCCCCAACUUGUCCUCUCCUGUUCUUUCACUGUAUUCUUCUUCUCACAUCAACUUCUUCCACUGAUUUCGUUUCAUUAUGAACUUAAGCAAAGAAAAACAUAUUCGUGGCUUUAAAAUCUAAGUUCGAGCUCAUCUAUCUUCCGUUCCCUGACAAAUUUAUCUUACAAAAAAAGUACGAGAGGAGCUUGCUGUUCAAGGCUUAUAGCGUUUCGAAUGUUAGUACUUUGUAUAAGCUUAUGAUAAGUAUAUCACGGGGAUAUCUGGGGUAGUUUGCAUGCUUUGAUCCCAUGUCAUCUUGUUACAUUUUGAUGUUAUAUAUAUGUUGGGUUCUCGUACAGGAUCUUUAUAUGGUUUGAACUGAGAACUUGCUGGUUUCGUAUUCAACGGGUCUGGUCUUGGGUGUUUGCAGCACUGCUUUUGAAUCCCCUUUGCUAUCAGAUAUAUAUGUAUUGUAGGCAUACUCAUAUGUGUCAUUAAGUGCCUGUUUGGUUUUUAAAACUUUUGCAGUAA